AUUGAACGCUGGCGGCAUGCCUUACACAUGCAAGUCGAACGGUAACGCGGGGCAACCUGGCGACGUGUGGCGAACGGGUGAGUAAUGCAUCGGAACGUGCCCGGUAGUGGGGGAUAACUGCUCGAAAGAGCAGCUAAUACCGCAUACGACCUGAGGGUGAAAGGGGGGGAUCGCAAGACCUCUCGCUAUCGGAGCGGCCGAUGUCGGAUUAGCUAGUUGGUGGGGUAAAGGCCUACCAAGGCGACGAUCCGUAGCUGGUCUGAGAGGACGACCAGCCACACUGGGACUGAGACACGGCCCAGACUCCUACGGGAGGCAGCAGUGGGGAAUUUUGGACAAUGGACGCAAGUCUGAUCCAGCCAUGCCGCGUGCGGGAAGAUGGCCUUCGGGUUGUAAACCGCUUUUGUCAGGGAAGAAAUCUUCUGAGUUAAUACCUCGGGAGGAUGACGGUACCUGAAGAAUAAGCACCGGCUAACUACGUGCCAGCCGCCGCAGUAA
rnacentral:rRNA from 1 species